AGUGAACGCUGGCGGCGUGCCUAACACAUGCAAGUCGAACGAGAACGGAAUAUAGCUUGCUAUAUUUGUCAGCUAAGUGGCGCACGGGUGAGUAAUGUAUAGAUAACCUGCCCUUAAGAAAGGAAUAACAGUUGGAAACGACUGCUAGUGCCCCAUAUGCCUUUAAUACAUAAGUAUGCAAGGGAAACGCUUUAGUGCUUAAGGAUGGGUCUGUAUGGUAUCAGCUUGUUGGUGAGGUAAUGGCUCACCAAGGCUAUGACGCCUAACUGGUUUGAGAGGAUGAUCAGUCACACUGGAACUGAGACACGGUCCAGACUCCUACGGGAGGCAGCAGUGGGGAAUAUUGCACAAUGGACGAAAGUCUGAUGCAGCAACGCCGCGUGGAGGAUGACACAUUUCGGUGCGUAAACUCCUUUUAUAUAGGAAGAUAAUGACGGUACUAUAUGAAUAAGCACCGGCUAACUCCGUGCCAGCCGCCGCAGUAA
rnacentral:rRNA from 1 species